rnacentral:rRNA from 1 species
AUACGGAGGGUGCAAGCGUUAUCCGGAAUCAUUGGGUUUAAAGGGUCCGCAGGCGGACUGAUAAGUCAGUGGUGAAAUCCCGUAGCUUAACUACGGAACUGCCAUUGAAACUGUCAGUCUUGAAUUCGGUCGAAGUGGGCGGAAUGUGUCAUGUAGCGGUGAAAUGCAUAGAUAUGACACAGAACACCGAUAGCGAAGGCAGCUCACUAGGCCUGAAUUGAGGCUCAGGGACGAAAGCGUGGGGAGCGAACAGGAUUAGAAACCCCAGUAGUCC